rnacentral:tRNA from 1 species
AACGGUUUGGCCGAGUGGUCUAAGGUGCCAGAUUUAGGCUCUGGUCCAAAGGGGUGGGUUCAAAUCCCACAAUGUUUA